GGGAGAAGAGAGCAGUCCGUUUAUACUGCAGUGAGAAGUUCAAAGGAAUAAAACCCAGGCUUUUCCGAAUCUCACAGUAAAACAUGUACAAGGUAGAAGACUAAGACUCAUGGUUGUGCUUUGUCUACUGGCCCUUAUCAGCAUGAGGACCCCCUGCGUGGCUGACCAUCCCAAACCACAGAUGGUCCACAACACAGGCUGGCAGGGUCACCCCCCACCAUGUAGCUAUUCAAAAGCAACUAUGUGGAAUAUAAAUUCAGAUUAAGAAAUUACUUGUAAUUGUGAUUUUGAAAAUAAUGGAAAGUCCAAAGUAAUCUGCUGAGUCAUGAUAUAAUUUAUUCCCAUGUUUGGAGGUUGUCUGGGGUUUUGGUUGCUUGGAUGCUAUUCAGGAUUAAUUGCAUUUCAGACUAUCCCUUGCUUGAAAAGUUUAGCUAAGAUGUUUACAUUUGUUCUGUACUUUUAAAAGUUUAUUUAUGUGUACACAUCUUUGUAUAGAAAUGCUCAUGAAUGUUCAGGUAUCUCUGGAGGCCAAAUCAGUGUUGAAUCCUCUGGGGCUGGACUAGCAGGUGGUUGUGAGCUGCCUGGGGAGUUCUUGAAACCAAACUCUCUUAACCACUGAGCCAUCAAUAUCUCAGGCUCUGCAUCACUUUUUUUUUUUCUUUUUGUUUUUUGUUGAGAGAGAAUCUUGAUAUGCAGCUCAGGUUGGCUUUCAGUUUUCAAUCUUCCUGCCUCAGCUUCCUGAGUACCGUGACUACAGGUGUGUGCCACCAUGCAUGGACAAACCUGUUAUUCUUGACCUUCUCAGCAGUGGGCAAGUAUAUAGAGGACAAAAGAGGGUGCUAGGUCCCCUGGAACUGGAAUUACAGAAAACUUUGAGAAGCCACAUAGGUGCUGGGAAUUGAACUCAGGUCCUCUGGAAGAGCAGUCAGUGAUCUUAACCACUGAAUCAUCUCUCCAGUUUGGUAAGUUUGGUACAACCAUUAUUUACCCAGAUGUUCAGGGGCAAAUCCAUAUUUCUGCUUCCUUAUUAAUUCUCCCUCCAAAUUCACCUAUCAGGUCUAGGAUUCUGCCUAUUUCAAACCCCCUGAACUUCUUUAUUUUCUUUUUUAGUACUUUCACCCUAGUGCACUUCUUUUUUUCCAUUUCCAGCUCAACAUUAUCCUCUUCUCGUCCCCCCCCCCCACACCACCUUUUAUUUUAUAUUGGUUUUUGAAACAGAAUUUCAUUUAUGCAACAUUGGCUGUCCUAAAACUCACUGUCUAGAUAUAUAGACCAGACUGGCAUCAAACUCCCAGAGAUCUCUCUGUCUCUGCUUCCUGAGCUGGAAUGAAAAGGUCUGCACCAUGAUACUAAGUAGGGAUUUACUUAUUUUUAUGUGUAUGGUGUCUUGCCUGAGAUAUGUAUGUGCAGCACACUGUGCUUAGUGACUGCAGAGGCCAGAAGAGGGCACUGAAUCCCUGUAACUGCAGACUAACAACAGCCGCCUUUGCUUCGCAAAUAACCAGACAGCCUUCAAGACAUUCGGGUUCUUAGAGAAGCUAAAUAAGAAGGAGAACCCAAAGAAAAUCAUAUAGGCAUCCUCCUGAAUAUUAAACGUCAUCAGGCGAUGAAAGGAGACAGAGACAGAGAACCACAAUGGAGCACCGGACUGAAAUCUCAAGGUCCAAAUCAGGAGCAGAAGGAGAGAGAGCACAAGCAAGGAACUCAGGACCGCGAGGGGUGCACCCAAACACUGAGACAAUGGGGAUGUUCUAUCGGGAACUCACCAAGGCCACCUGGCCUGGGUCUGAAAAAGCCUGGGUCAAAACUGGUCUUGCUGAACAUAGCGGACAAGGAGGACUACUGAGACCUCAAGAACAAUGGCAACGGGUUUUUGAUUCUACUGGACCUAUUGGUUUCGUGGGAGCCUAGGCAGUUUCGUGGAUGCUCACCUUACUAGACCUGGAUGGAGGUGGGAGGUCCUUGGACUUCCCACAGGGCAGAGAACCCUGAUUGCUUUUUGGGCUGACGAGGGAGGGGGACUUGAUUGGGGGAGGGGGAGGGAAAGGGGAGGCGGCGGUGGGGAAGAGACAGAAAUCUUUAAUAAAUAAAUAAAUUAAUUAAAAAAAAAAAGACACAGGUGUCACGUCUACAGGAAUCCUCCCUGUUCAGGUGCCCUCGUGGCACCCAGCGCUGACCUUUGCCACUCUCCAUUCAUUGCACUUAUCUACCAUCAGAUCUUCGAGACUAUGGGCUUUACAUGUCGUUACAUUUCCAGCUUAUUACAGUGUCAGGCACACAGCUAGUCAUCAGAAUGUCACAGGUAAAAGGAAAAGGAGACGGAUACAAGUAACUUUAGAAGUUAUAUAGGUAGGAACACUCCCCAUUAAAUUAAGUCAUUUAUAAAAGCCUUAUACAUGAAAGUUCUCAGGAGUAAGUAUGCUUUCUUUGUUUGCUUUCUCUCCCUCCCUCCCUCCCUCCCUCCCUCCCUCCCCUCCCUCCCUCUUCCCUCUCUCCCUCCAUUUUUCCCUCUCUCUGUCUGUCUCUUUCCUUUUUUUUGGGGGGGGGGAGUGGUUUGCAAUAGGAUUUCUGUGUAGCCCUGGCUAUCCUGGAACACAUUCUGUAGACCAGGCUGGCCUCAAACUCACAGAGAUACACCUGCCUCUGCCUCCGAGUGCUGGGAUUAAAAGUGUGUGCUACCACUGGCCAACUAAUAUUCUUUUAAGGAUUUAAGUGUGUGUGUGUGUGUGUGUGUGUGUGUGUGUGUGUGUUCAUAUGAGUGCCAACAAAGGUCAGAGGUAUCAGGUCCCCUGGAGCUAGACUUACAGGCAGUUGUGAACCAUCUACAUGGGGGCUGGGAAUUGAACUUAGGUCCUCUGGAAGAUCCAAUACAUGCUGUUAACCAAUUAACCAUUUCUCCAGCCCCAUCUCAGGAAUGAUUUUGGAAGGGAAGUGAAGUCUGUGUUUGGUCAACUCUGUCAUCACUACUCCUUUUACAUGACUAAUGGAAAUCAAGUUAUAUAUCAUUAAACAACCACAGCUGAAGAGAGUAAGUGGCUCUUACAUUGAAAGAAUUGGAGCAACGAGAUCCAGGGAGGCGAUGAGAAUCCCCAGCUCUGCUAUGGCAGCAGUUAGAAGUAAGGCCCAGAAGGAAAGAAGAUCCCCACCAGCAGAGUGAAGGAGGUGGUGAUAUCAGCAAGGACGUACUCAUGGUUUAAGCUGCCCAGGACGUCAGAUGACUUGGCUGAUGGCUUCUCAAUGAUCUCACCCUUUGGCUCAGGGUACACUGAAGGCAGGGGACUGGAAGAAUGGAAAGUCCAGAGGAAGGGAGGGCAUGAAACACAAUGCUGAUUCCUGACGUGGCCCUUGCACGCUUCAACUCCCAGCUGCUCUGAUCACCUGCACAAGAUCGUCACAAGAGAUAUAAACAGGAUGGAGUAACAGACCCAUAGUAAAAUACUCCUGAGAGAAGAAAACAAGGCUCGGAAUCUGCAGAGUGUGUUCAUACAUGCAUAAUGAACCGCGUUCUAUUACUUGGCUUCAACAACUCUUGACAAUCUCAAGUUCUGUUUCAUGGAUCGAGGUGGUUUUGUUUUUUUAAACAUAUUAUGCUGGAAUUUUAAAAAAGCAAAAUAACACUCACUGUGCCCCCCCCCAACCAAACAGAAGUGGAGAAGCCCCAAAGGGGAACCUGAAACAAAAUGGAAUUUCCCAAGUUGAGAUACAGCUAAAAUGUUGCAUCUAAAACUUUUAUAACUUUGAAAAGGAUCUUUAAUUGUUUUAUGGCCCCUAAGUAAGCAAAAUGAAAGUGUAUGAUGAAUAUAUCACAUAGAAGAAAUGCCAAAUACCAGUAAGGAAAUCACGAAGUUCCUGUUCUUGCCUCACCACUUUCCUCUGCACUGGAUUUGUGGGUUUUUUUUAUCAUGGAAAAAAAAUUGUUUUUUCUGAAACCUGUUUAAAUCAACGUAGUACCAAUAAAUUUGAUUCCCAGCUGAUCCAUAUGACUUCAAAACAACUUCUAUAACAAGAUUACAAAUAACUGAGUGCCCGGCCUGAAGCGUGUGCACCAGGCCAGAUCCCCUGGAACUAUAGUUACAGACAGUGAGCCACCAUGUGGGUGCCACAAAUUGAACCCAUAUCCUGUGGAAGAUCCUCCAGGGAUCUUAGCUACAGAGUCCUCUCUCCAGACUGGCUACUGUAGAGUUCUUUUGGACUGGUUUUUAUUUUAAAAGGCAACUGAACAUUUAAAUGCCCCAUGAAGGUUGCUGGGAAUGACUAUGACUGCAAAGUCCUUCAGAGACAGUCACAUAAGCACAGUUGUUAUGGGGUAAAGGGGGGCACCAAGAUAGAUACACCUAACAAUGGCUACAGCCGCUAGGUCUACACUUCAGAAUUGAGGAAGUGGUCAACAGGACAGUUUGUCAGGCAGCUUCCUGCUGGGAAACUGGGUCACUAGGGAAAUCACCCCAUGAAAUUCUGAGGAAAUGCUCACAUCACCAGAUACUGCCACUGACUACCCAACAAUGACUCGGUGGAAACAUGGGC